UUUCCGUAGGUGAACCUGCGGAAGGAUCAUUAUCGUACAACAUGUGAGGGGCAUGCGGGGGGUGUCGCUGUCCCCAAAGUCGUGCCCGCCCGAGUGUGUACUCUUGAAUAAUAAUCCAUCUCAACCGUUGUGCCUCACCGCGUGGGCACCCGUCGGGAUCAUCUCGGAGGGGGGCUCGCGGUUUCUCACAAACCCCCCUUUUAAAAGUGUAGAAUGACCACAUUUAUGCAAUCAAUACAACUUUCAACAACGGAUCUCUUGGCUCUG
rnacentral:misc_RNA from 1 species